GCUCACCAUGGCAAGGUGCGAGCGUGAGAGAGGUAGCUUGCUACUGAUCUUAGCGGCGGACGGGUGGAGUACUGUUUAGGAAUCUGCCUAUUAGUGGGGGACAACAUUUCGAAAGGAAUGCUAAUACCGCAUACGUCCUACGGGAGAAAGCAGGGGAUCUUCGGACCUUGCGCUAAUAGAUGAGCCUAAGUCGGAUUAGCUAGUUGGUGGGGUAAAGGCCUACCAAGGCGACGAUCUGUAGCGGGUCUGAGAGGAUGAUCCGCCACACUGGGACUGAGACACGGCCCAGACUCCUACGGGAGGCAGCAGUGGGGAAUAUUGGACAAUGGGCGCAAGCCUGAUCCAGCCAUGCCGCGUGUGUGAAGAAGGCCUUAUGGUUGUAAAGCACUUUAAGCGAGGAGGAGGCUACUUUAGUUAAUACCUAGAGAUAGUGGACGUUACUCGCAGAAUAAGCACCGGCUAACUCUGUGCCAGCAGCCGCGGUAAUACAGAGGGUGCAAGCGUUAAUCGGAUUUACUGGGCGUAAAGCGCGCGUAGGCGGCUAAUUAAGUCAAAUGUGAAAUCCCCGAGCUUAACUUGGGAAUUGCAUUCGAUACUGGUUAGCUAGAGUGUGGGAGAGGAUGGUAGAAUUCCAGGUGUAGCGGUGAAAUGCGUAGAGAUCUGGAGGAAUACCGAUGGCGAAGGCAGCCAUCUGGCCUAACACUGACGCUGAGGUGCGAAAGCAUGGGGGAGCAAACAGGAUUAGAUACCCUGGUAGUCCAUGCCGUAAACGAUGUCUACUAGCCGUUGGGGCCUUUGAGGGCUUUAGUGGCGCAGCUAACGCGAUAAGUAGACCGCCUGGGGAGUACGG
rnacentral:rRNA from 1 species